rnacentral:tRNA from 1 species
UUAUAGUGAAGUGGUUAUCACCCUUGACUUUGAAUCAAGUAUCCCAGGUUCGAAUCCUGGU